AAAAAACACUUAUACACUUUUAGGCAUAAACACUUACCAUUGAAUUCUUCAAAUACACAAUUCAA